CCAUUGCAAGUCAAGCAUUACGGCUUGAAUGUUUGACAUGUACAUUAUUAUCACGAAAAACUUGCAAACAUUUAGGAUAUUUGUGUUCAUUCAAGCCUUACCUGAGACAUAUGAACUGUUUUAUAUGCCACUACAAAGGGGUGCACUUGUUAAUAAUUAUACGGGGACUAGGAGAGACUUCUAAACUAAUUGAAAGAAGGAGAGAGUCAGAAAGGCUGCGUCUCGAAAGGCGGAAAGUAAAUACUUAAAAAG
rnacentral:misc_RNA from 1 species